rnacentral:lncRNA from 1 species
UGGGGCUAUGUAGAAUAUGUAAAUAAACUUUGUGAUAAGUUAUUGGUUGAUUAUUGACAACCUUGAGAAUUAGACUGAUGGUUAGGUAAUUUAGCUAGUAAUAGUAGGUUGUUAGUAGAAAAAAUAGUUAAGAAUUCAAAGGAUCAUAACCUUUGGAAUUUUUUGGCCAACAUAUCAUCUUUUUGGUAGGAUAAAUAGAUGGAAGAAAGAGAGAUUGAGAGCUAGAGUGAGAGUCGUAAGCUGAGAGCCAGACUGAGAGUCAUAAGCAGAGGUA